UACGGAGGGUGCGAGCGUUGUCCGGAUUUAUUGGGUUUAAAGGGUGCGUAGGCGGCCCGUUGAGUCCGAGGUGAAAGCCCGUUGCUCAACAACGGAACUGCCUUGGAUACUGACGGGCUUGAGUACAGACGAGGUUGGCGGAAUGGACCGAGUAGCGGUGAAAUGCAUAGAUACGAUCCAGAACCCCGAUUGCGAAGGCAGCUGACUAGGCUGAUACUGACGCUGAGGCACGACAGCGUGGGGAGCGAACAGG
rnacentral:rRNA from 1 species